rnacentral:lncRNA from 1 species
GAUUUACCAAAUAUGGCUACUGAAAUGUAUGACACUAUUGUCCAUUAUUGGUGCUGUGAUAGGUAGAUGCAUAUUACAGUUGCCUCUGGAUACAGAAAACACUUUUUAUAGUGAGGUAGUGACCAAAGGAGUGUACUUUGAGGAGUGUGUUCAUCAAAUCAUACGGUAGUUCACAUUCUGAAAAGAUUAAGAACUUCUGUGGUAUAGGGAUAUAACUAGAGAAAGAAUUAUACUGUAUGGAAUUUCAAAGAGCAUGGCGGUUUACAUGAGGAGCAACCCAGGUGGCAGAAGCAAAGGCUCAAUAGGAUGGAGGAGGGCAGCAUUUGACUCCUUGAAGGAGAAUUUUUUUACAUAGAAUUUUUUUUUAAUUUUUUUACAUUUAUUCAUUUUUGAGAGACAGAGAGAGACAGAGCACAAGUGGGGGAGGGGCAUAGAGAGAGGGAGACACAGAAUCUGAAGCAGGUUCCAGGCUCCCAGCUAUCAGCACAGAGCCCAACAUGGGGCUCAAACUCACAAACCGGGAGAUCAUGACCUGAGCUGAAGUUGGAUGCACAACCGACUGAGCCACCAAGGUGUCCCCAAGAUGUGUUUGAAUAAUUAAAAUAGAACUUUAAAAAUACCAGAAAAAUACUACUGCACUGCCAGUGGCUUAGUCGCUAUCAAUGUAAAGCAUUGUUAUUUUUGCAGUAGACCAAUUUUUUUAGACUGGACUGAAGAUAAAGCUAAGAAAAGUUAAAUAAAAACUAUGUAUAGCUCAGAGUGGCUGUCUUGCACCUAAAAUUCUAUUUGUGACGGAUACCAUCUGCCCAGAUUGUAAGAGGAGGGGAGGUUGUGGAUUGGUGUACAUUUGGAGGGAGAAGGAGUUGCAGAGGGCAGCCUCCUUCUGGAAGUCAGAAGCAUUGCAGAAAAAUAUACUGGUAUGGUACCACUAUCUUUUGUUCAUUCUCACCAACCAUGAAAUUUUAUUGCUUGAAACAAAAUGUUAACAGUGCCUGUCCCUGGGUGAUGGCAUAAGUAGAUAGCAACAUCAUAGGUGGGUUUUCUUUGUGACAGUUCCCAAAAUUUCUACAGUUUUAUUUUACUAGGAAAAGUAACUUAAAAAUGACUGUUGUCAGUUUUUUUUGUUUUGUUUUUUUGUUUGUUUGUUUUUGCAAAAUUGGGCUCAUAUGACAUACGUGGUUUUAUGUAUUCUGCUGUGAGUAGUAUCUUGAGCAUUUUCCUGAGUCAAUAUUCUUCAAAAACAUAUAUUUUGAAUGGUUGUGUAAUGUCCCAUGAUACAACUAUAUCAUUGCUCAUUUAUUCUUUUUUCUGGGUUUUCACUCUUAAAAUGAUGUAAUGAAGUUACUUGGACACAAAUUUUUGUGUCCAUUUCUGCAUAGAUUCAUACAAUUGAAAUUAUUUGGUCAAACUGUAUGAAUUCUUUUAGGGCUCAUAAUACACAUUACUAUAUUGUACUCCAGAAUUUUAGCACCAAGAUCAAUUCCUUUGUGAGCUCAUUGUACUGGACUUGGUUCAGCACUGGGUAUUUCCAUUGUAAAAUCCUUGCCAAUUUGGGGAAAAUUUCUUUGCUCUCAAUAACAAACAUUUUUUCACAUUUUAUUGGCUAUGAGUUAUUUGCUGCUGUUCUUUUUCCAGUUUUCAAUUUGUGUCAGGAUUUUUUCUAAUUAAUUUACACAAGCUCUUUGCAUCUUUUUUUUUUUUUUUAAUUUUUUUUAACUUUUUUUUUUUAAAUUAUUUUUGGGACAGAGAGAGACAGAGCAUGAACGGGGGAGGGGCAGAGAGAGAGGGAGACACAGAAUCCGAAGCAGGCUCCAGGCUCCGAGCCAUCAGCCCAGAGCCCGACGCGGGGCUCGAACUUACGGACCGCGAGAUCGUGACCUGGCUGAAGUCGGACGCUUAACCGACUGCGCCACCCAGGCGCCCCACAAGCUCAUUGCAUCUUGAUGGUAUUAGUUACGGUAAACUUUCCCUCUAGUUUUGAUUUUUUUUAGAUGCCCAACUUUACAUUUUUACAGUGAAAUCUUUAGAUUUCUUUGUAAUUUAUUUACCUUCCUUUCCUAUCCAGAGAUCAGAUGAACAUUCAAAUAAAUGUUCUUAUCGUCUGUGCUCCAGAUUUUUUCAGGCAGCUCUCAUGCGUUCAGAUACCUUCUUUGUACCAGGUGAUGUUAAUUAUGUUGUCAGAUACAGAUAGGAAAGCAUUAAAGUGAGGCACUGUUGUCAUAACACGUAAUUAGUACAGUAUGCUGGUUAGCACUGUGGUGUUUGGGGACAUUCUCCCUCACUUUGAACGUGGCUCUGUCAUCUUGAGAUAACUUCUUUCCCUGUUCUACGGUUUCCUUAUCUGUAAAAUGGGUUAAUAAUAAGGCUAUGUCACAGGGUUAUGAGAAUAAAAUGAAUUGAUAUGGAAAUCACUUAGAAUGUGUCCUGAUACAAAGUCAGUGCUAGCCACAUUUUGGUCCAUGAUAGGUAUGUUCUUUGAAAUCUGAUACCGUUUCAAUAUAUUUUGCAUUUCUAGAAACUUGAACAUUUCAUUUCAAAAAGCUCUUCACCUGCAAUAAUUACCUUUACUAGAUCUUUCCUCAGCUACUUUAGUGAGACACGCCUCCUACAGGCCACAGGUGAAGCUUAUUUCCAGCUCUUGAAAACCAUACAGACCUCAGUCGGAGAGCUGUUGUGGCUGACUCACCGAUUCUGUUCGACCCCUACUUCUUCCCUCUGAGUCGAAUCUCUUCUAAUUUCUGUAGGCUCGGAGCUAUUUCUGCGUGUGUGCAUUCAUUCUAAUUCCAGUUUUUUUCGGGGCGCUUACUAUGCGCGAGGCGUGGAAGGGGAAGAAAUGAAGGUACAAUCUGUUUUUACUUGGCUUGACGUCCCAUAGAAAAAUCAAUAUAUGUACCAUAUAUAGGCUAACUAACGUUCAUCUUUUAGCUUCUAUUUUCUCAUCUGUAAAAUGGGGGUAAUAUCUCAAGGUCGCUGAAAGAUUAAGGAAGAAAAGAACAGAACCUCUAAUACUGAGCAGUUCCGUAAACGCCUAUUCCUCCCUUCCUCCGCUAGCUCCACAGUCCAGCCUGUGGAUUAAAGCGCCACACUCUUGGGAGUCUGGAAAUUCUGCCGAUAGCCUUCCAGUUCCCCAAUUGCAAUCGUCAAAAAGCUACCGACUGCACAUACAGGCCGUGCAGCUUUUAAUUUGGAGACACAAACAGUCCUACUUAAAAAACUUUAAGCGGGCAACGUGGAUUACACACCCUCAGGAACCGAGGGGCGCCACAUUGAGCAUGCGCAGGGCGCGCGCUGGGUGGGCGGGAGGUUCGAAGGGCGGGCUUUGUGGUCCAGUCACUUCCGUUUCCGGCCAUAUAUGAACUCUCCCGCCAUCUGACAAAAGCGCCUAUCGGCGUUUCUGCGUAUCGUGUUUGGUGUGGUUGCAGGUAAGAGGAUCUUCUGUGGUUUUACCACGGACAUUAGUCUUGGUGUUAAGGCUUGCAGGUCGAGAAAGAAGGGAGAGCACUUUGCGAGCCGUGGGAACAGAAGAAUGACAUCCUGGGGUGGGUGUAUUGAGUAUUGGUUGGUUGAGGCAGAGACGCAGGUGUCAGCGAGCUGAGGAGAGAACAGCUUCGUCGGAGGAGUGCUCAGGUAGGAUUGAGGGGCUUAAUUUUUAUAGGAGUUUGAGGAUGUUUCCUAAAAGGGGUUCGGAAGGACUGGAUUAGAAAGACGUGUUCUAUUUUCCGGGGUCAUAAUAUAGGAAGUGAUGAAUUGGACCCGGACCAUUAAGUCUCUUCUCUGGAAAGCCAGAAUCUACCGCGCUUUCCUCCGAAUUUACGAUUGCAGCGGGUUUAAAAUCUCAUCUUAACUCUUGGGACUGUAGAGAUCUAACGACGGUGGUACACAGACCUAUAGUGAACUGGCAAUAUCGCUUGACUUUGACUUUGAUGUUGCUGGAAGUUAUGACCACCACCUGCGUUUCACCGUACACACCCCCUCCUUCCCUACAGAAUUGUUACAGGUGUGUUGUAGAAAAUCUGGAAAAUCCAGAAAGACGCAUUGCCUCGGGAUGACCACUUUAACAUUUUAUGCAUGCCCUUCAGUUUUUUGCUGUGUAUGUGGAGUUGUUUUUUACACUUGUUGUUUGUUGUUUUCAACUCCAUUUGCCAUCCUUUUAACCCUUUUAUGUUUCCUUCCAAGAUAAUGAGAUGCAGUUUUCUGGAGGAAAUCGGAGAAGACUGAGGUUGGGAGGUGACCAAAGGAAUGCUUGCUAUCCUCAUAGCCUUCAGUUUUACUUGGAGCCACCUUCUGAAAACAUAUCUUUGAUUGAGUUUGAAAGCUUGGCUAUUGAUAGAGUUAAAUGUGAGUGAUAUUUGAAUUAGAAUUUAUAUAUUCUUGAGAACUUCACUUAUACUUUGUGGAAAUGAAUGAGGGUAAUUUCCUUCAUUCAGUUCAUUCUCGAAAUAUUUAUUGAGGGUUUGCUAUUUACUGUUCAGUGUAUAUUUAUUGAGUGCCACUAUAUUCUGGGGUGGGGAUUUCCAGAUGAAUAAUGUAAUUCUCAUAUUUGUUGAAGCUGUAUUCUAGUACGCACAUAAAGGCAUCCAAAAUAAUAAUCAUAAUUUAGUAUUGUAAGUGCCUUACUAGAGGUAAAUAGUAAUGCUCUUAUUUUUUUUAUUAAAAAAGUUUUUUUUAUACAUUUAUUUUUGAUACACACAGAGCACAAGUGGGGGAGGGGCAGAGAGAAGGAGACCCAGAAUCCGAAGCGGGCUCCACGCUCCAAGCUGUCAGCACAGAGCUGGACGCGGGGCUUGAACUCACAAACCAUGAAAUCAUGACCUGAGCCAAAGGUGGAUGCUUAACCGACUGAGCCACCCAGGCGCCCCAAAUAGUAAUGCUCUUAAAUCAGAAGCAGGGGUGACUUAGUUUGAUUAAGUAAGACUUCUUAGAGAAGUUGAAGUGUAAUCUGGACCUUGAAGGAUGAGUAGAAAUUUCUGAAAAGAGAAGUAGUUAAAGGUUUUUUCAGUCCAAGAUAACAAACUGUACUAAGGCUGGGAGGCAAAAGAGAGAAUGUUCUAUCUGAGGGAACAGUGACAAGUUCAGAGCAAAUGGAGAAGAAUGGAUAACCAAGGGCAUUUUUUUGCCAAGCUAACAGUGUAAUAUCAGGAUGUAGGCAGGAUGUGGCCUACUUAUCCUCUGUGUGCUAGUGGAAGAAAGAAAUAAGCUAGGCAUGAAUUGAAACAGAAAUAAAAGCAGUGUUUUCUGAGUUUAUGUUCCAGGAUAUCCCUGUGGGAAAAUCAGAAGGUAAGGUGAGAAACUGUUCAUCAUUUUUAGAAGAGCAGAGUGACAACUGCUAAUACACAGAGGGGGCACUUAGUGUCUGUUGACUGAAAGAGUGAAGACAAGGGAGAAAAGGGUUUUAGGAACCUUAGCAGUGUCAGAUGCUUCAUGGAGAUUAAGAGGAUGAUUGAAGAGUGUCCCUUGGAUUUGGCACUUAAGGGGCGAGCUAGUAAGUGCCUGAACUAAGGCAGUGACAAGUGGCAGUGUGUAGGCAGGGAGAGAUUUAAGGGAUACUGAGGAGGUAUUCCUGACAGGAUUUGGGAGUUGUUUGGAUGUGAGGAGUGAGGGGGCCAGUGGGGGUGGCUGAAAUUCCAGUCUGGAUGGUGUGGUUAGAAACUGUGCUAGUGGAGGGGUGCCUGAGUGGCUCAGUUGGUUAAGCAUCCGGCUUUGGCUUGGGUCAUGCUGCCAUGGUUCAUGAGUUCAAGCUCCACAUCAGGCUCUGUGCUGACAGCUCAGAGCCUGGAGCCUGCUUCAGAUUCUGUGUCUCCCUCUCUCUCUGCCCCUUCCCUGCUUACGUUCUGUCUAUCCCUCUCUCAAACAUAAAUAAAAAUUAAAAAAAAAAAAAACUAUGCUAGUUGAGAUGGGGAUGAUAGGAAGAGGGGCAGGACUGAGGGGAAGAUGAUGAGUUUAGUUUGAGAUACUAUAAUAAGGAGGUACCUGUGGGACAUGGAUUUAUGUUCAGGAUUCAUUUUUAGUUUUUCAUCCUUGAAUUACAAAAAUGCUUUUUGUAUUGAUGGAAGUAGAAUUAAUCUGAGAAAGAAUUGACAAGGAACCUUUGAACAAUAUGCAUCUAAUCAGGACAGUUCACUUGCAUCAUUGGAGGGCUUUGCUUCUUCACUGUUGUGUCUUCUCCUCUACUUCAUCAGGAAAGGAAGGGCUGUUUUUUCUGAUGAUUCUAUGCUGAGUAAUUGAAACAAACUAACAGUUCCACAGAAGGGAUGCAAACAAGGGUACUUAAUUUUUUUUUUCAUACCAGCACACUUGCAUUCCUCGACAAUGGUGGCUCAGUACAACAAUGAUUAUUCCCCACCCUUCACUCUCUGAGAAUCCUGGUAUUAACUUGUGGUAUGGGACAUGAAUAUUUUCUGCACAUGGAUGGAAAUUAUCUUCUUAUAAAUUUAUAUAAUUUAUAUAAUGUACUUGCAGAAAAUAAAACUAUUACAACUUGUUAUCUUUUAUUUAUUUUUUCAAGUUUGUUUUCUUUGAGAGAGAGAGAACACAAGCAAGGGAGGAACAGAGAGAGAAGGAGAGAGAAAAUCCCAAGGAAGCUCCUCCCUGUCAGUGCAGAGCCCUGAUGCAGGGCUAGAGCUCCUGAACCGUGAGAUCAUGACCUGAGCUGGAAUUAAGAGUUGGAUGCUUAACUGACUGAGCCACCCAGGUGCCCCUAUAACUUAUCUUUUAAAAACAAGUAAUUAUGGAAUUGUUCAUAGGCUUUGUCUUGGGAUUUAGUUUUUUUUUUUUUUUUUUAAUUUUUUUUUUCAACGUUUAUUUAUUUUUGGGACAGAGAGAGACAGAGCAUGAACGGGGGAGGGGCAGAGAGAGAGGGAGACACAGAAUCGGAAACAGGCUCCAGGCUACGAGCCGUCAGCCCAGAGCCCGACGCGGGGCUCGAACUCCCGGACCGCGAGAUCGUGACCUGGCUGAAGUCGGACGCUUAACCGACUGCGCCACCCAGGCGCCCCGGGAUUUAGUUUUUAAAAACUAUCUUGGGGCGCCUGGAUAGCUCAGUCACUUGAGCAUCCAACUCUUGAUUUCACCUCAAGUCAUGAUCCCAGGAUCGUGGGAUUAAGCCCUGCGUUGGGCUCUGUGCUGAGCGCAGAGCCUGUUUAAGAUUCUCUCUCCCUGUCCCUCUCCUUGUCCCUCCCCCCUUCCCUUUCCCUCUCUGUCCCUCUUCUCUGCUUGUGUGCGUGCUGUCUUCUAAAAAAAAAAUCUUGCAUUCAUACAUUUUUCUUUCUUCUGUUUUUAAAAAAUUUCUAGUGCUAAAAACAGUCGAAAAUCUUGGUGUGAGCCAUGUGAAAGGAACCGAGCAAUACCAGAGUAAGUUGGAGGCUGAGAUAAGAAGGCUCAAGUUUUCCUUCAGAGUAAGUAAACAUGGGAAAGAAAUGUUUUUCAGUUUGUAUAUAUUUAUAUACUGAGUCUUGGUUGUGGAAAAUAUCUUGUAUUAGGCACAGGGCUUUUAAAAAAGACUAAAAUAGCAUGGACUGUGCCUGAAGGUAUAUCUGCAGUCCACUAGGAAUGAUUGCCAUAUAUAGUCAGACGAUUAUAAUACAGCAGGGUUUCUCAGCCUCGGAACUACUGACAUUUGGGCCUGAUAAUUUCUUGGUGUAGGGACUGUCCUGUGCAUUGUAGGGUGCUCAGUAGCAUCUCUGGCUUCUACCUGGUAUGUAUCUCCAGACAUUGCCAGAUGUACCCUGUGCACCACAGGAUGAGUACUGUUUCUAGAUAUGUGUUCCAGGAACUCCAAGAGCACAUAGGAUUACCCAGCCCAGCUUGGGGAGGUUUGGGAAGGUGUUAAAGUUCCAGGUAGUGCUGGAACUGAAACUCGAUAGAUGUGAUCAGAUUUUUAUUUUGGGAAGAUAGCAGAUUGAGAGGGCCAUGUCUGUGGGAGGAAAACCAAGUAGCUUGGACAUAAUGAGAGUGAUUCGAAUUGGAGAAAAGGAUGAGAGUGAUUUGAAUUGGAGAAGAGGACUAGUAUAAUGAUAUUAUGAAGGUAGAAUCAAAAGAUUUUAGUGACCUUACAGGGAGAAGGUAAAAGAGAGUUAUGAAUGACACCUUAGGUUUCUGGUUAGGACAACUAUGGAUGGUGGUAGUGUUUUGAGAGGUGACAUAUAGGAGGAGAAGCAAGUCUUAGAAGGAACAUGUUGAGUUCUAGACAAGAAUUUGAGGUUCUAGUGGAACUGUGUAGUAGAUGAUUGGAUAUGCAUAUAGCUUGGACUUAAGGCUGGAGUUGGGAGUAUGGAUUUACGAAGAAGGUUGGAAUCAUCAGGAGGAGGGAAAUAUUUGAGUGAGAAGACGAUGGAGGACAAGAUGUGAAGAAUACCAGUACUGAAGGUGAAGAAGAAUUGGGGGAGUCUGGGAAGGAGAUUGAGAAGGAGCUGCCUGAGAGGUGGGAGAUCAGCAGGGAUAAUAGUGGCAUGGUAGCCAAGGAAAUUUGGAGUUUCCAUAAUGAUGAUUAUGAUGUAAAUACUGAUCCCAUAGGAAUAAUAACAGCAAGCAUUCAUAUUAUGCUUAGUGUAUCCCAGAGUUUGCCCUAAGCACAUUACAUAUAUUAAUCCAUGUAAUAUAGUUAAUAGUCUUAUGAAGCAGGUACAAUUGUCAUCCCUAUUUUAUAGAUAAAGGUACAGAGUUAUUGAUAGGCUGAGUAACUGGCCCAGGCUUAUGAGAUGGUAAAUGGUGGGGCCAAGAUUAGAACUGGACAUUUUGUCUCAGGUGAUACUCUUAACCACAUAAUUUCAGAAGCUUAGGCUCAUGUAAGAUGAGUUGUACGGAUAGAUGAGUUGUAGAUAGAGGCAGAAGCCAAAAUGAGGACAGUGUUUGGAGGAGAGAGGUGGGUAUCGAAUAUGUACUCUUUUAAGAUGGCUAGCUGAAAAGACGGGAGAAAUAGGUCUGAAUAUAGAAGAAUUUGUAGGGAAAAAGAGAGGACACAUAACAGGAGACACUUGAACAUGCUUAUAAGCUGAGUGAAAAAAUCUAGAAGAGAAGAAGAGGAGGGGAGCUUAAAGAUACUUGGAGAGAGCAUUUGAUAAAUCAAGAUCUUUAGGAGCCAAGAGCAGAUGGAUUGCAUGGUUCAGGUUUAGGGAUGAGCUUAUUCAGGAGGAGGGGGAGAUCCUUUGUCCAUAGAGAUGGAAGGGAAAGUAAUACAGUGGAUGCACAAGCUUGGAGCUGAAGAAGUUGGCCUGGUGGCCUUUAUUUUCUGUAAAGUAAGUGAAGUUCUCUGUUGAGAGAGAAGAUGGCGUGGUAGGGAGCUUGGGUCAAGUAGUGAAGACUGAAGCAGCUUUUCUAACAGUGAGGAAAGAGAUGAUUAUGUGUCAAAUCUCUGUUCUAUUGUUUAAUAAGCUUUAUGACUCUGGAAAAAUUUCAGAACAUCCCUGUGCCUCAGUUUCCUCCUUAAAAAAAUUUUUUUUUAUUAAUUUUUAUAUAUUUUUGAGAAAGAGACAGAGUGUGAGCAGGGGAGGGGCAGAAAGAGAGAGGGAGACACAGAAUCCAAAGCAGGCUCCAGGCUCUGAGCUGUCAGAGCAGAGCCUGUUGCGUGGCUAAAACUCAUGAACCGUGAGAUCAUGAUCUGAGCUGAAGUUGGAUGCUUAACUGACUGAGCCACCUAGGCGGUUUCCUCAUAUUUAAAAUAGGGAUAUAGUAGUGCUUACCUCAUGAGAGUUUUUUUUAAAGAUUAAGUGAGUUAAUAGAUUAAACAUGCUUACAACAGUGCUGUAAGUGUACCUCAUAAAUGCUCAAGACAUGUUUGCUCUUACUGUGUUGGACUUGAAUAAGAAUUUCUUGGUGCAUAAAAGUCCAGUUCAGGUUAGAGGUUGUGAAUUUUUAAUAUUCCAAAUUCUCAGUAAUUGUGUAUUUUUUUCCCCCAGAAAUUCUUAGUGUUUUGGGAAUAGGACUGCAGAUUUAUUUAGAAUCUAGGUUUGGCCAGAUGGUUAAAUGAAGGUUCAUGCCGGAGGUGGUGGAAGAGGGGAGAACCCUGGAUAUAUGCUGGGUAAGAAAGAAAGUUAAGAGAGGAGUUGAUAGGAAGAGAGUCCAAACCCAGGAGGUUUUGUUUGAGAUCAGGUCAGAUCUCAGUGUCACUUGUUUGCUAACGUAAGUAAAAUGGUAAUUACAUAUUAUGAAAUUUGUUUUUGAAACUUUUAUUUUAGCAUUGGCUUAUAUUGACUCCAUUUUUCUUUAUACCUCUUAACAUUCUAAUGUGUUUAUGUUAUUCAUGUGUCAUUAUUUUUAAGGAAAAUGUAGAAAAUGAAUAUGAACGCCGAAGAAGAGAUCAUAUUUCUCACUUUAUUUUACGCCUUGCUUAUUGCCAGUCGUGAGUAUACGUUUAGACUCUCAUAGUCAAAGCUGCUAUCUUGGGUUACAAAUUGGUACGUGGGAAGCUGACAUGUAUUGUACUGCACAUAGGAAAACUCAGAAUAACAUCAGAAGCUGGUGAUUCAUGGGUUGAACACUGUUGUUGCAAAUUGUUUGAAGCCAGUUGUUUACUAAAAAAAAUUGUAAAAAAUUCUAUUGUAAAACUUGCCUGUUGAAACACUUACUAGUUUUAUGGGAGAGGCUCUUCAUUUGGGAUUUGCAAUUGUGGGGGUGGGGGGAUUUCGGUAAGAAAGGACUUUUUGAUCCUGUUUUCUCAGAAAAAAAGUGGCACUAUUUAUAAGAAAUAAUACCUCAAACAUAUACUUGAAUUUAGUACAGGUGUAAGCUAUUUUCCCUUUGCUAGUUGGUUUCUUGUAAGUCUACAGUGCCACCCAGAGGGAGAAGGAGUUAGUUGCCUUUUUCUUUUUUUUUUUAAACUGUUUUUUUUUUUUUCUGUACUAAUUUUGGCUAAAUAAUAUACUUAGUGUAAGUUUCUUUUCUGUUUCUUUCUGUUAAGAGUCUUAUCAAAUGAGAAUCUUGAAUUGUUUAGUAUCCCACUUAUCCCUGGACAGGUGAUCCUAUCCACGACCAUCUUUGGUUCUGGAGGUUUUCUUUUGUAAAGAUGAAUGUGCAGUUUAUGUAAUUUAUGCAGUCAAUGAAUUGCUGACAAUCUGUGAAAGUCCCUUUGGGGGGGGGAACUACAUCAUAUUUUAUCUAUAGUAGUAUAAUUAUUUUGUGACAAUAGUAAUAACCAUUAUGUAUUUUAUGAAUUUAUAUUUGUUGCUUUUUCAAAAAUCAAGAUGUAGUUGUGCAUAUUAAAUUUUGUGAAAUUAUUAACUAUAAAGCUGUAAACAAAGUUUACUUUAAGAGUUUAUCUGAUCAUAAUCUAUUCGGAGAUAAAGUGACCUUUAAAAAUUUUGGUUUUGGGGCACCUGGGUGGCUCAGUCAGUUGAGCGUCUGACUUCGGCUCAGGUCAUGAUCUCCGUUUGUGAGUUCGAGCCCCGCGUCGGGCUCUGUGGUGACAGCUCAGAGCCUGGAGCCUGUUUCAGAUUCUGUGUCUCCUUCUCUCUCUGACCCUCCACUGCUCAUGCUCUAUCUCUCCCUCCCUGUCAAAAAUAAAUGUUAAACAAAAUUUUUUUUGGUGUUGAUUUGGCACUGAUGAAACCACCUUAGACUGAAGGAAUACCCCAUUUUCUGAUGUGAAUGACCGUUUUGCAGUUAAAUGCAAUGAACUGUUUUCUUUUAUAUUGUUGGAUAAUCAGCUAGGCUCAAGGUAUUCUGUGUUUAAUUCUGUAUUCAUAAUACCUCUCCCAAUGUUCACAUCCUUGAAGAUUGUGGUAUGUGCUCUGUAUACUGUUUAUCAUAAUAGACGACAUGUGUGCUUUUAACUUCUGUCUGUUGGCAUCUUGCUCAUAUUUGAGUUUUAUUUCAUAAAAAUUUCUUGAUUUAAUAAUCCAUGGACUUUUAAAAUAAUCAGUGGACUUUUCAUUUAUACUUAUCGUUUCUCUGUUUUGAUUUCAGUGAGGAUCUUAGACGCUGGUUCAUUCAACAAGAAAUGGAUCUCCUUCGAUUUCGAUUCAGUAUUUUACCCAAAGACAAGAUUCAAAGUUUCUUAAAGGAUAGCCAUUUGCAUUUUGAGGCCGUGAGUAUGGUUUUGUAGCCAUUUUCAGUUGUUUUCACCAUUCAUCCCUUCCCAUUCACCUUAAGUGCGAGUAUUAAUGUGAGGUGUUUUUUCUGUUUACAUUUUCUUAAGUACUUGCCUGAAAGAAUAGCUAUUGGCUUUGCACAGCAAUGAAACUUUGCCUUUCCGUGACUAGAAGAAAAGGGACUCCUUAGUACCGAAGUUUCGCAUUUAGUUGCUUUAUUAAAUAUGUGACUUGUGAAAGCACAAGAAGGUUUAAUUUAUAAGAGUUCAUCUUUAAUCUUCUAGGCUGAAAAUUUAAAGCUAAUAAUAUACAUUAAA